UACGAAGGGGGCUAGCGUUGUUCGGAAUCACUGGGCGUAAAGCGCACGUAGGCGGAUCGUUAAGUCGGGGGUGAAAUCCCAGGGCUCAACCCUGGAACUGCCUUCGAUACUGGCGAUCUUCGAGUCCGGGGAGAGGUGAGUGGAACUCCGAGUGUAGAGGUGAAAUUCGUAGAUAUUCGGAAGAACACCAGUGGCGAAGGCGGCUCACUGGCCCGGUACUGACGCUGAGG
rnacentral:rRNA from 1 species